UGAUUAGCGAAGCUAUCUCACGAAACGCGCAAUAGCAAGUUGUGUAACUACUUCACCGAAAAAUCUCCGAAUAAAUAGAGCCAUGCUAAAUUAUAAAUAUUACGACUCGCCCGAAGGGCAGGACAUUUUCAAAAAAGUGUUUGUGACGUCCAAAUAUGCUACUAUGUCCGGGCUCGGUCUGGGCGUAUUCGACGUCCUCAUGUUUUCGCAUCCCAAGGGUUUAGUGGGUACUGUGGGUCGCCUGGCAUACUACGUCGGUCCCGCAGUUGGCAUGGCUGCAGCGUUCACUGUCACUGCCAAUGUCGCUCAGAAUUACAGGGGGAAGAAUGAUAAAAUCAACUAUUUCCUGGGAGGAGUAGUGGCUGGCUCUGUGUUUGGAGCAUGGCAAAGGUCGAUCACUAUCGGUGUACCCGCGGCAGUGUUGCUCGGAGUAGCGGCGGUCAUAAAGAAGACUGGCGUAGAAGAAGGCUGGACAUUCUUCCCAGACAACCGCACUGCGCACCAGAAUGCUAUCUCAGCCAAAUAUGACUUUACAAUGGCUAAAGACGUCCUUGAAUUCAAGACCUGGUCCACUGGUCCAAAAUAGAAGAAGUCUUUGAUGUAGUGUAAAUAUGAACAGCUUGUAAUUAAUUUAAGUAAAUCAGUACCACAUUGUCGCUUGUUAAAAAAAAAAAAAAAAAAAAAAAAAAAAAAAAAAAAAAA